AUUGAACGCUGGCGGCAUGCCUUACACAUGCAAGUCGAACGGUAACGCGGGGCAACCUGGCGACGAGUGGCGAACGGGUGAGUAAUGCAUCGGAACGUGCCCAGUCGUGGGGGAUAGCUCGGCGAAAGCCGGAUUAAUACCGCAUACGACCUACGGGUGAAAGCGGGGGACCGUAAGGCCUCGCGCUAUUGGAGCGGCCGAUGUCAGAUUAGGUUUUUGGUGGGGUAAAGGCCCACCAAGCCGACGAUCUGUAGCUGGUCUGAGAGGACGACCGGCAAGGCGUGAACUGAGAAACGGCCCAGACUCCUACAGGAGGUAGCAGGGGGGAAUUUGGGACGAAGGGGGCAACCCUGAACCAGCCAUGCCGCGUGCGGGAAGAAGGCGUUCGGGAUGUAAAACGCUAUUGUCAGUGAAGAAACGCACUGGGCUAAUACCCUGGGGUAAUGACGGUACCUGAAGAAUAAGCACCGGCUAACUACGUGCCAGCCGCCGCCGUAA
rnacentral:rRNA from 1 species